UACGGGGGGUGCGAGCGUUGUCCGGAAUCACUGGGCGUAAAGGGCGCGUAGGUGGCGUGAUAAGGGUGUGGUGAAAGCCCGGGGCUCAACCCCGGGUCUGCCAUGCCGACUGUCAGGCUAGAGUACUGUAGGGGCAGGCGGAAUUCCGGGUGUAGCGGUGGAAUGCGUAGAGAUCCGGAGGAAGACCGGUGGCGAAGGCGGCCUGACUGGGCAGGUUACUGACACUGAGGCGCGACAGCGUGGGGGAGCAAACAGG
rnacentral:rRNA from 1 species